rnacentral:rRNA from 1 species
UACGUAGGGUGCGAGCGUUAAUCGGAAAUUACUGGGCGUAAAGCGUGCGCAGGCGGCGCGUUAAGACAGGUGUGAAAGCCCCGACGCUUAACUUGGGAAUUGCGCUUGUGACUGGCGUGCUGGAGUGUGGGCAGAGGGAGGUGGAAUUCCACGUGUAGCAGUGAAAUGCGUAGAGAUGUGGAGGAACACCGAUGGCGAAGGCAGCCUCCUGGGCCAGCACUGACGCCCAUGCACGAAAGCGUGGGGAGCAAACAGG